rnacentral:rRNA from 1 species
UACGUAGGGUGCAGGCGUUAAUCGGAAUUACUGGGCGUAAAGCGUGCGCAGGCGGCUCCUUAAGUCAGAUGUGAAAGCCCCGGGCUUAACCUGGGAACUGCGUUUGAAACUGGGGGGCUAGAGUGUGGAAGAGGGGGGUGGAACUCCAGGUGUAGCAGUGAAAUGCGUAGAGAUCUGGAGGAACACCGAUGGCGAAGGCAGCCCCCUGGGCUAACACUGACGCUCAUGCACGAAAGCGUGGGGAGCAAACAGG